rfam:Schistosoma rodhaini strain Burundi genome assembly, scaffold: SROB_scaffold0000135
AUCCAGCCGACGAGCCCCAAAUAGGACGAAAUUCACGUCAAACUGGAU